UGAAUCCCAAACAGGUUUAUAUUCACUUGGGUGGCCACGUCCUGGAAUCCAGCCAAACUCCAAACUGUGAUUUCAUUUUGGUACACCUGCAGCCAAAGAGCAGCUAAGAAAAAAUAAAACAGAACCUGGGUUGUGACCAGUUAUCAUUAAACUUUAUUCAAGUGUUGAUUCAAGGACACAGGUCCGGUGUAAGCGAGUCUAUUUUUCAUAAAACUUUGUCAAAAAGAAUCUUGAUAGUAAAAACAGCCCAAACUAUCACUAUAUCUAUAAAAAACUAAAUUAAUGGAACAUGUUUUACAUGCUGUGCAGUAUAGAUUAAACUGUAAUGGACUUUUUGGAGUUUACUCCUUUAUCUCACUAUUGUGGUACCCCUGAAAAUGGACCCUUUAGGUGUGUAUGAUGACCUGACUGUCUGGGUGUUUGGCUUCUAUCAGAGGCUCAAGGACAGUCUAGCUGCUUCCUGAUAGUGCAGAGACACUGUGUAUCCUUAUCUGUAGCAAUGACGUAAGGAAGGCAAAAAUGAAACUCUAUGUGAGAUUAGAACUUCAGAAUUGGAUAAGCAGGCCUACUGCAACAUGUGUUCACCCAAAAACACCUUAAGAUUUUUCUUUAUCAUAUGAUCAAAUGUUUAGUAAUUGAUUUUUAAGACUGGAUGAAGCAAAAAUGACAUCCCAUUUCCAUCUAAUGCACGCAAACUGUCAUCUUUAUACACAUUAUGUUGUAUGAUAAACACAGUAAUAGAGAAUUCCAGCCAGUCCUUUUGAGAAAGCACUUGGAAAGAAUAGGGAUGAAAAAACAUGCCCUUUAACAGAGAAAAACCUUCAGCAGGAGCGGCCUCAGCGAGGGCGGCCAUCUGCCACAGCCAGUUGGAAAGAGAGAAAAGAGGAGAGGAAGGACCGGCAUGGAGAGGAAACAGAGAACAUACAGUUUAACAUGAACUCUGAGACUGUUGAUGGUGGAAGUAUCCAGUGAUCGGGAACGUGCAGGUCAUGAGCUAGAGGUACCUACAGAACAGUACAGGGAGAGACAACAGAGACAACAAUCAUUACGAGAGGUCUCCAGCACCCCAGUCAUACAGCACCAUAACUAAAGAAUAGCGCAGGGUACCCUGAUGCAGUUUUAUCCAAAAGAUUGAAGACAGAGAUAAAACGCAGAAUAGAGUGUCUGCCCCCUGAAACCAAUCCUGGGAGCUGGUUUGACAGAAGAGUAAGAAUCGUACUCUUAGAAACUCUCAGAGCUCUCAGAGUCUGCACUCUGAGAGAGCGGUGCUACUUUCGGAUAAUACAGUACUACAAAACACUUCCAGAUCUUCUAGAGUUUGGUCAUUUUGUAAGUGAGGAGAAGGAUUUAAAAUUAAAAGCCAAUGGAGGAAAGCUUCUAUUACUGAACAAAUAAAUGAAUUCAAUCCAGCCAAUAAAACUGUUUCCCAAGUCUAAAACAAUCCUGCAUCUGAAGCCCAAAACGGAAAAAAAAGAAACCGGAAGAUCAAGACUGAAGACCACUGAUCCAGACACUUACCGACUCUUGCCCUCAGAGUCUUCACUCUCUCUCUUUUCUUUCUCACAACCUGUAAUCCAGCGAUCAGUUGUCCAGGCAACUGCACUGGCCACAGUUCCAGCACGUGCUCAGUGAUGCCAGUUCAGGAUGAAAGUACCUGGAGGGGGCAAUGCAAAUCACCCUUUGCACCCUAUUGAAGACUAGCAUAGAAAUCCCAGCAGUAAACCUGCCCCCAGGGUUGUUGUUUUUUUUCCUCCAGAGUGGUGCAACGUCUGUGUGUGUUAUUAGUACUCGCGUGUGAAAGAUCUCAGUCUCACAUAAAUAAAUGAAAGCAGUUCCAGAGCUGCUAGUUCUUUAACAGAAAAACAGAUUUUGGUAAAGUGGUUACAAGCUAAGUGCAUGAAUUAUUUUUGCUCAAAUAUUUUUUUAAGGACAUAUAUUAUUUAUUUUGUUUUAUUUUUUUUAAUAGGCUGAUGCAACCUAAAUUCACAACCUUACAGGUCACACAUUAGCUGUUUAGAAGGCAGACAAAGUGAUCUAGGGAUUAACACCUUGGAGGAAGAUGUCACCAUGUUGGAAUGUGAAAAGUUGCGAGUGUGUGUGUGCAUGUGCACAUCCAGUACUUUGCCCACGCUGUGACAGCACAAUCAUGUGCUGCAGGAAUCAAAAAUACUGCACAUUGUCCUUUUCCUACAUGGCAUCAACAACGCUCAUCUGGCUCCCUGUUGUUGAGGUAUUAGCUCAUAACCUUGUGCGCUAAAGCUUUCAAGCUCUUCCAUAAUCUCUCCUGCAAACUUUGUGUGAACUCCGGUGCACAUGAUACCUUUAUUCAAGAGUCAAUAGCAAGUGGAACAAAAGCACAAAGCAGAUAUUCAGAUGUGUUUUUGUGACAAAAACUAACAAAUAGAUGCUCGAUAUUCAGAAAGAUUUCUUCGCCUGUAUGAUUUUUCUGCCAGAAAGCUAUAUUCCGCAUUAGCCAGCAAUACUCUUGCCUCUCUGGGUGUGGAUCUUCUUAAAUGAAAGUAUAUGAAUUUGGUAAAUGUAGCAGGGAAAUCAAGACAACAUAUGGGGAAGUCACUUACACUAACACUCGUGAAGUCUGAGUAUAUCCAAGGGCACAUCUCUGACGGUCCCGUAAUCAGAGGUGCAGACAUAAAGAUGUAUUGUAAUGACACAUGCCUGCCUCUUUUUAAAUAUAGGUUUGAUUUGAAAGAAAAUGACAGUGUAGUCAAUUUGGUCACUUUGGCAAUGGUGCCAGCCUUCUCCCGCGACAAUAGAAAAUGAAAGUGUUCGUUUCCUACUGGGUUUCCACUUUCCUGUGUCAAUUUUUCUCCCCGUCAUUUUCUCUCAUCCCAUCUCUGUGGCAGCCUCUCCUCAUAGUCUGUGUCUGUUUCAAGCAUCCGUUUGUCUGUCUGAAUCCUCUCCGGCUGCGACCGUGAGGAUGUCUGCUUUUUGGUUCUCAAACAAAAACAGAUGCACGGUGCUUGAUAGAAAUUAUGAACUCUCGUCAACAAACACCGAGUAUGUUCCAUUUUCCACUCGUGGGUGGUUAGAGUACAUUUCUCUCCCAAAAAAAAGGCAAAAAAAGAAAAGUGGCAGAAAAGGAAACAAAAAAGUCUGUCACACUACAAGGACUGAAUUAUAGUCUUGCAGUUUAAUAUGAAGGGGAGGUAUAAUUUGGUGAUUUGCUGUUCUGUGGAGCUGGGUUAGCAGAUGAGCACCAUUAAGUGUUUUUUAUCUAUGUGCGCGGAAGAAUUACAAGAAGAGAGAGUGAACAUUUGGAGUUUUUAAAUGGUUUGCCUGUACAACCCACAGAACACACAAAUUAAAGAAACCCUAUAGGGCAUCUUCUCUGUAGACGUGUAAUUUAGUUUAACCAUUCCAGGGUUGCAAAUGCACCUGAUGUUACUUUGAAAUGAACCUGAUGAGUUCAGCUUCCAUGGCGACUUCGGCCUCCUCAGCAGAAUGGGAGCUGACACCUGUAUCGGGGGUUCGCACUCUUUGCAAACUCGACUCACACAGAUUUAAUUUGUGUCACUCUGUGAAUACUUUUUCUUCCGCGCUGUUCCAUCACUGUGUAGCAGACCUUUAAAUACUCGUCCUGACCUCGAAUAGCCCGACAGCCCCCGAGAUAAUCCUGCAGCUUCACAGCGGAGAGAAGAAACAGUGCAGAAAAAUCCGCUUGGAGAGAGUGACUGUUGGAAAAUUCUCACUGACUUCUUAGUUCUUAUUUAUCUUCGUGACAGUGGGUCCGGAGAAGGAGAUGACAGGGAGGGAGAGCGGCGUGGUGCGUUGGCUCUGCGUGUUAAGGAGAGGCUGUGAUCAUCGCCGGCUGCAGAGAGGCAACAGUGACGGGAAGUGACGAUGAGGCCCGAGACGAGAGCCGCGAUGGUAAUGCGUGUCACAUCGAUGAGGCCUCUCAAAGAGAAGUCAGGAAUGAGAUCAGCUACUUCCUACUUCCUGUCUCCCGGUGUCUUAGCUGGGGGCUCUGAUUUCCAAUUUUUCACUGCCAUCAUUUAUUUGGUCUUCUUCUCCCUCUUUAGUCGUCUUUUCAGCCUCUCUAAUCUGCCUCUCUUUCUGCUGGACUAUUCUUUCCUCUGCCCCUCGUUCGACAGUGGACACUAUUCAUCUCUCACUCCUGGCUAUGUUUCCUUAGUUUCUUAUUCUUUUCCAACUCUGUACAAUUCACAGCUAUGCUCCAACCUUUUUCUUGCAAAGGAAAUGAAAGUAGGACUAUUCAAGUCCCCUACCCUAUAAGACUCCUUUAAAACCUAGGGCUAGACUGAAUAAGCUGCUAAACCUUCCAGAAAGGCUGGUCGUAUUGGUUGUGUUAAAGAAUAACUGUUGUAUAACUUGUGAACAAAGCCUAGAGGCAAACUGACUGCUUUUAACCAUUUAAAUAGCUUUACAAGCCAAACCAAACUUACCUGUUGACACUUUUAAUUAUUCAUAGACUGCUUUCUGUCAUGGUCUGGAUGUGCCUUUUCUCCAGUAUCCACCUCUGGGCAAAGCUGCUAUUCUCUCACCAGGGCAGCUCACCUGGAAGUUAUCUGUGGCAAUCAGCAGAGGGGUAUUUAUGACCAGCAUCACCGUCCCUUCGCCGCUGCUCCGUUGACUCAACGGAGGCACACAGCACCGCCACGCAACAGAACUCACCUUUUGGAUACUGGUCACAAACCUCACCAGAUUCACGCUAUGCUCCAGGAAGAAAACACCCACCACACUCACCUGCUUGCCCUCCUGACACCGCAACUUACCAGGACUCCUGAAAUUCAGGUCAGCCUGUCGUUAAUGCUAUCAGCCUGCCACUCGAACCUCUGCCUCCCCCUCCAAGCCUAAGACUCCACCUGCAAAACUCUUCCUCUUUCCUCAGUGGGACCUCGCGACCGCCACGCCACCAGUCUCCCCUUGAGUUACCUCCCUUAGGCUACCACGCUAGAAUCCCUACCAUGCCAAAUAUUGUGUGUCAGUGCCACGCCAGAUUUCCAGGUUACGCUUCCCACAUGUUUUGUGUUAAAGUUUGUGUUAAGUUAACUGUACCACCUCUGCACGUCGGUCUUGCACUUGAGUCCAGUUAUAUACAGGCCUUUGGCCCCACGUGACAUUUUCACUAUCGUAAAGGAAAAAAAGGAGCCAGGGGGUUAAACCAAGAACCACCCGUCUCCACAGCUACAGCCACCACCUCCAACAAUCAGUUGGAGUGUUGUUUGUCAGCUAGAAUUGGUGCUAAGAAUACAGCUUGUUUCUUCUGAUCCAUAACUACUUCGCUUAGACUUUGAAAAAGACCACAGUGCCACUGAGUUUACACAAGACUAAUGUCACAGACAGAGAUGCUAUACAAAGUCAGCCUGCAACAUGUAGCCUGAAUUUAUUCAUUUAUUUUUACUUUGUGUCGAACCACAGAAAGCUGACACUGGCUCUGUCUCUGUGUGUAAGGCACUGCAUGCAAAUGGGGAAAGUUUUUAUUUGACUUGAAUAAAAAAACAAAGAAAAACACUCUCAGGAUUUUGCCUUUAACUGAAUAUUUUGUAUAGUGUAUUAAGCCUAUAAUCAAGCUAAGAUAGAAGCAGGUUG